rnacentral:rRNA from 1 species
UCAGACGAUGCGUCAUGCAUAUCAAUAAGCGGAGGAAAAGAAACUAACAAGGAUUCCCCUAGUAACGGCGAGUGAAGCGGGAAGAGCUCAAAUUUGAAAUCUUAAAGGGUUUCCCUUUACGAAUUGUAGUUUAAAGAAGUGUUUUCUGUUGAGGUUUUGGUAAAAGUUCUUUGGAAUAGGACAUCAUAGAGGGUGAGAAUCCCGUAUUUGACCUUUACUUUCAACUUUGUGAUACACUUUCAAAGAGUCGGAUUGUUUGGGAAUGCAGUCCAAAAUGGGUGGUAAAUUUCAUCUAAAGCUAAAUAUUGGCGAGAGACCGAUAGCGAACAAGUACCGUGAGGGAAAGAUGAAAAGAACUUUGAAAAGAGAGUUAAACAGUACGUGAAAUUGUCAAAAGGGAAGCGUUUGACACCAGUGUUGUUUUUCUGAAAAUCAAUUAAAGAACUGUUUAUGCUAAGCUGUUUAGACUUUAUCAGCUAUCUGUUUAGUUUUGAGCUUUUCUUUAAUGCACUUUUCAGUUAACAAGUCAACAUCAAUUUCUUUUGCUGUAAAAAAGCUUGAGGAAGGUGGCUUGAGAUUCGUCUUAAGUGUUUAUAGCCUCUUGCCUAUGCAGUCGGAGAGAUUGAAGGUCUGCAGCGUAGAUCCUUCGGGGCUAAAUGCAUUUGUGCUAAGUUAUAGCAUUUUAUAGACAACUUGUUGACUAUGAUUUGUCUUGUAGCUUACUCGCUUAUGUUAUUUUACCUACGCUUAGGAUGUUGACACACGCGCGUGCUCG